AUCCAGCUUACGGAUCCAAAAUAGGACGAAACCCGCGUCCUGGAU
rfam:Schistosoma mansoni strain Puerto Rico chromosome 1, complete genome